AUAGGCGAGCAGAAACACCGGAGAGCGCCGAGAUGAGAGAGAUGGGGGACCGGCCGUAGCAGGGCUCGACCUUGUCGUCGUCCCGUUCCGGGCAUGCGCCCGCUCGUGGGAGCCACACCAACGUUGAACCAAAGCGGUGAGGUCACGAGAAUCUGAAGACCAACUUGGUACCUGGGAUCUCAAGUCUAAGGAAAACAGUGCUACCACGAGGGUGGCAUGGGACACCCUUGGUUGACUAAUUAGGAAAGCUAGUGGAAGACUACCUUACCCGAAAGGGGCAAAGGCGGUAGAAGAGCUGCGUAUAGGGAGGUUCUCGGGUCGAUCAUGCUGCGAUGGCUUUUCAGACGAGGGAUUCCUAUAUUGCCCUUCUUAGAACCGUAGCGGGUUUUCGGAAGCUAGUGGAACUUUGUAAAGGCCUCGUUGUGGUACCCUGCCUCGUCUCCUCGGUAGAGAUGAAUGGAAAGUCGUGAUCCCUUGGUAAGGGUAAAGAUGUGCAACCUCUGUAGAGUGUAAAACUGGUAUAUCAGUCGUGCUCACGGUCAUGAGCAGCUCGGACCCUCACAUGAGUAAUUUAUG
rnacentral:lncRNA from 7 species